UUGAGCAGUGUUAGAGUAGCGUUUAGAUUUACAGUCCAGUUUCCUGAUUUUUUUCUUCUCUCUUUUCAUUUUUUCCGUUUUUUUUCUUUCAGAAGCUUUAAAAAGCACUUUUGCAGUUUAGGAGAUGAGGAGCUACUUUCACUCCAGCUCAGUUUUGCUCCAGGUACUGAGUCAUUAGUUGUGGCAAAGUUUCCAUUUUUGGUGAGACUUGUGCUCCCACAACAGUCGGACAGUCUCUUAUCCAGGAUAUCUUGAAAACAUGAGCUAGGAUAAAGCUGAUGAACUGCAGCAUAGCUCCAUUAAAGCCCAUAGGAUAUUCCAGCUGACAGCAUCUGGGCUUUGGGUUAUUUUGUAGACAAGGUUUGUGCAAGCGUUUCCCUAAGUUGUCUUGUGAGUAUACUGUGUUUUGGAUUGACCUGUUUGGUGCAAACCUCUGAAUCACGGUUUCCCUUUCUGCAGGUGAAGGCGUUGUGUGAUCCAGCCGAGGCAGCACAGAGUGCACGGCUGGAUCCCGUCACGGCAGGAGCGCCUCUCCCUCGUGAUGCUCUAGCAGCCAUUUUACCACAGCUGAGGUGAACACUUUUGGAGACAUUACCAGGCUAGGUGGACUCUUGAUCCAG
rnacentral:lncRNA from 1 species